CGGAGGGUGCGAGCGUUGUUCGGAAUUAUUGGGCGUAAAGCGCGAGUAGGCGGUCUGUUAAGUCGCGUGUGAAAGCUCCCAGCUCAACUGGGAAAGUGCGCGCGAAACUGGUGGACUUGAGUGCUGGAGAGGGUGGCGGAAUUCCCGGUGUAGAGGUGAAAUUCGUAGAUAUCGGGAGGAACACCAGAGGCGAAGGCGGCCACCUGGAAAGUCACUGACGCUGAGAAGCGAAAGCGUGGGGAGCAAACAGGAUUAGAUACCCUGGUAGUCCACGCCGUAAACGAUGAGUGCUAGCUGUGGCGGGAGUUGACCCCUGCCGUGGCGACGCUAACGCAAUAAGCACUCCGCCUGGGGAGUACGGCCGCAAGGUUA
rnacentral:rRNA from 1 species